AUUCUACCCAUGCGGGGAAGGAUGAGAAGCUUCGACUAAGGUUCGAUUCGAGCGCAGCGAGAAAGCGUUGCCGCAGGCAACGACCCGAAGGGCGAAGGGCGAAGCGCGCAGCGCUGAGUCAUCCUUCCCCCACCACCA
rnacentral:sRNA from 4 species